AUGUAUAAGAUGAGAAAACUGUGGUGUGCUCCAUAUCUUGAGGGCCGUUGUUUCCUAGGAUUGAGCAGCAAUCAGUUGAGUGAGAGUUUAAACUCGGUGCUACAUACGCAUCUUGAGGCUAAGAUGACGUUGUUUCAAAUGCUAGAGCACUAUGAGCGUUGCCUUGCGUCGCGACGCUUGAACGAGGCUCUCCAAGACGUCGAGGCCUUACAGUCCGUUCCGUUCACAGAGGAAAAUGCUUCAGUUCUUGAGAAACAUGCCGCGAAAGUUUUCACUCCUACUGUGUUUAAGUUGGUCUUAUGGAGCAUAGAUGCUGUCAUAAAAUGUGAGAUCAGAGAGGUACUUGAUGCAGCAGAGGUUACCACAUACGUUGUGUCUAAGAAGGAAAGAAUGGAUAAAAAGAUCGAAGUGCGCACGGAGACGAAGGAAGGUAUGCUUCGCAGUAUCAGUUCUUCUUGCGCAAAUUGGAAUGCGCAGGCACACCAUGUUCCCACAUAUUUUACAUAUUGGGAAUUUUACAAGAAGAAACACUCCCCAGGUGUUGUGUUCCCACUAGGUGGACAAUGA
rnacentral:rRNA from 1 species